rnacentral:rRNA from 1 species
GACGAACGCUGGCGGCGUGCCUAACACAUGCAAGUCGAGCGAGGAGAGUUCCUUCGGGAACAAACCUAGCGGCGGACGGGUGAGUAACACGUGGGCAACCUGCCUUGUAGAGGGAAUAGCCUUCCGAAAAGGAAGAUUAAUACCGCAUAACAUUACAGUUUCGCAUGAAACAGUAAUUAAAGGAGUAAUCCGCUACAAGAUGGGCCCGCGGCGCAUUAGCUAGUUGGUGAGGUAACGGCUCACCAAGGCAACGAUGCGUAGCCGACCUGAGAGGGUGAUCGGCCACAUUGGGACUGAGACACGGCCCAGACUCCUACGGGAGGCAGCAGUGGGGAAUAUUGCACAAUGGGGGAAACCCUGAUGCAGCAACGCCGCGUGAGUGAUGAAGGUUUUCGGAUCGUAAAGCUCUGUCUUCGGGGACGAUAAUGACGGUACCCGAGGAGGAAGCCACGGCUAACUACGUG